rnacentral:misc_RNA from 1 species
UCCGGUUUGUCACCGGCAGUCUCCCUAGAGUGCCCUUGCGUAGCAACUAGGGACAAGGGUUGCGCUCGUUGCGGGACUUAACCCAACAUCUCACGACACGAGCUGACGACAGCCAUGCAGCACCUGUGUUACGGCUCCCUUUCGGGCACACCCAGCUCUCGCUGGGCUUCCGUACAUGUCAAGGGUAGGUAAGGUGGGGAUGACGUUCUUGCUAGGUAA